rnacentral:rRNA from 1 species
GUGAGGAAUAUUGGUCAAUGGGCGGAAGCCUGAACCAGCCAUGCCGCGUGAAGGACGAAGGCGUUCUGCGUUGUAAACUUCUUUUAUAUGGGAAGAACCGUCCUCAUUAAUGAGUGACCUGACGGUACCAUAGGAAUAAGCACCGGCUAACUCCGUGCCAGCAGCCGCGGUAAUACGGAGGGUGCAAGCGUUAUCCGGAUUCACUGGGUUUAAAGGGUGCGUAGGCGGAUAAAUAAGUCAGUGGUGAAAUCAACGGGCUCAACCUGUUAACUGCCAUUGAUACUGUGUAUCUUGAAUAUGAGAGAGGUAGGCGGAAUGUUGCAUGUAGCGGUGAAAUGCUUAGAUAUGCUACGGAACACCGAUUGCGAAGGCAGCUUACUAUUUCGUAAUUGACGCUGAGGCACGAAAGCGUGGGUAGCGAACAGGAUUAGAUACCCCGGUAGUCC